UACGUAGGGUGCAAGCGUUGUCCGGAAUUAUUGGGCGUAAAGAGCUCGUAGGCGGUUUGUCGCGUCGUCUGUGAAAACCCGCAGCUCAACUGCGGGCUUGCAGGCGAUACGGGCAGACUUGAGUACUGCAGGGGAGACUGGAAUUCCUGGUGUAGCGGUGAAAUGCGCAGAUAUCAGGAGGAACACCGGUGGCGAAGGCGGGUCUCUGGGCAGUAACUGACGCUGAGGAGCGAAAGCGUGGGUAGCGAACAGG
rnacentral:rRNA from 1 species